UUUGAAUUAAAAUUAUUUUUUGGAUUAAUUUUGAUAUUUUUCAUGAAUUAAAUGUUUUUGUGCAUAUUCUUAAUUGUUUAAAAAUACUUAUGACUUUCUAAAAAUCAUGAAUUUUUUUUGUCUAAGGUUCUUUGACCUUGUUUGACCUAGGAUAAAUCGCUUGGCCAUUUAUUUGGUGGUUUGAAGGGAUUUGAGGUUUUAUCCAUAUUAAAAUGUAUUUUAAUUCAUUUUCAAAA
rnacentral:lncRNA from 1 species